rnacentral:rRNA from 1 species
GGAAGGUGCAAGCGUUAAUCGGAAUUACUGGGCGUAAAGCGCGCGUAGGUGGUUUGUUAAGUUGGAUGUGAAAGCCCUGGGCUCAACCUAGGAACUGCAUCCAAAACUAACUCACUAGAGUACGAUAGAGGGAGGUAGAAUUCACAGUGUAGCGUGGAAUGCGUAGAUAUUGUGAAGAAUACCAAUGGCGAAGGCAGCUUCCUGGUUCUGUACUGACACUGAGGUGCGAAACGU